rnacentral:misc_RNA from 1 species
GAUGAAGACGUAGCGAAAUGCGAUAAGUAAUGUGAAUUGCAGAAUUCAGUGAAUCAUCGAAUCUUUGAACGCACCUUGCACCCUUUGGCUAUUCCGAAGGGUAUGCCUGUUUGAGUAUCAUGAACACCUCAACUCUCAUGGUUUGCCAUGAUGAGCUUGGACUUUGGGGGUCUUGCUGGCCUGUGGUCAGCUCCUCUCAAAUGGAUUAGCUUGCCAGUGUUUGGUGGCAUCACAGGUGUGAUAACUAUCUACGCUUGUGGUUUUCCACCAGGUAACCUUCAGCAAUGGGGGUUCGCUGGGGCUCAUAAAUGUCUCUCCUCAGCGAGGACAGCUCUUUGAACGUUUGAUCUCAAAUCAGGUAGGACUACCCGCUGAACUUAAGCAUAUCAAUAAGCGGAGGA